rnacentral:rRNA from 1 species
GACGAACGCUGGCGGCGUGCCUAAUACAUGCAAGUUGAGCGCUGAAGGUUGGUACUUGUACCAACUGGAUGAGCAGCGAACGGGUGAGUAACGCGUGGGGAAUCUGCCUUUGAGCGGGGGACAACAUUUGGAAACGAAUGCUAAUACCGCAUAAAAACUUUAAACACAAGUUUUAAGUUUGAAAGAUGCAAUUGCAUCACUCAAAGAUGAUCCCGCGUUGUAUUAGCUAGUUGGUGAGGUAAAGGCUCACCAAGGCGAUGAUACAUAGCCGACCUGAGAGGGUGAUCGGCCACAUUGGGACUGAGACACGGCCCAAACUCCUACGGGAGGCUGCAGUAGGGAAUCUUCGGCAAUGGACGAAAGUCUGACCGAGCAACGCCGCGUGAGUGAAGAAGGUUUUCGGAUCGUAAAACUCUGUUGGUAGAGAAGAACGUUGGUGAGAGUGGAAAGCUCAUCAAGUGACGGUAACUACCCAGAAAGGGACGGCUAACUACGUG